CCUACGGGUGGCAGCAGUGAGGAAUAUUGGUCAAUGGCCGGAAGGCUGAACCAGCCAAGCCGCGUGAGGGAGGAAGGCGCAGAGCGUCGCAGACCUCUUUUGCCGGGGGACAAAAGGCCGGACUCGUCCGGUCCUGAGGGUACCCGGAGAAAAAGCAUCGGCGAACUACGUGCCAGCAGCCGCGGGAAUACGUAGGGGGCAAGCGUUAUCCGGAUUUACUGGGGGGAAAGGGGGCGCAGACGGCAAUGCGAGCCAGGAGUGAAAGUCCGGGGCCCAACCCCGGGACUGCUCUUGGAACUGCAUGGCUGGAGUACAGGAGGGGCAGGCGGAAUUCCUAGUGUAGCGGUGAAAUGCGUAGAUAUUAGGAGGAACACCGGUGGCGAAGGCGGCCUGCUGGACUGUGACUGACGUUGAGGCCCGAAGGCGUGGGGAGCAAACAGGAUUAGAUACCCGGGUAGUC
rnacentral:rRNA from 1 species